rnacentral:rRNA from 1 species
AUGAACGCUAGCUACAGGCUUAACACAUGCAAGUCGAGGGGCAGCAUGAACUUAGCUUGCUAAGUUUGAUGGCGACCGGCGCACGGGUGAGUAACACGUAUCCAACCUGCCGAUGACUCGGGGAUAGCCUUUCGAAAGAAAGAUUAAUACCCGAUGGCAUAGUUCUUCCGCAUGGUAGAACUAUUAAAGAAUUUCGGUCAUCGAUGGGGAUGCGUUCCAUUAGGUUGUUGGCGGGGUAACGGCCCACCAAGCCUUCGAUGGAUAGGGGUUCUGAGAGGAAGGUCCCCCACAUUGGAACUGAGACACGGUCCAAACUCCUACGGGAGGCAGCAGUGAGGAAUAUUGGUCAAUGGACGAGAGUCUGAACCAGCCAAGUAGCGUGAAGGAUGACUGCCCUAUGGGUUGUAAACUUCUUUUAUACGGGAAUAAAGUGAGGCACGUGUGCCUUUUUGUAUGUACCGUAUGAAUAAGGAUCGGCUAACUCCGUGCCAGCAGCCGCGGUAAUACGGAGGAUCCGAGCGUUAUCCGGAUUUAUUGGGUUUAAAGGGAGCGUAGGCGGACGCUUAAGUCAGUUGUGAAAGUUUGCGGCUCAACCGUAAAAUUGCAGUUGAUACUGGGUGUCUUGAGUACAGUAGAGGCAGGCGGAAUUCGUGGUGUAGCGGUGAAAUGCUUAGAUAUCACGAAGAACUCCGAUUGCGAAGGCAGCUUGCUGGACUGUAACUGACGCUGAUGCUCGAAAGUGUGGGUAUCAAACAGGAUUAGAUACCCUGGUAGUCCACACAGUAAACGAUGAAUACUCGCUGUUUGCGAUAUACAGUAAGCGGCCAAGCGAAAGCGUUAAGUAUUCCACCUGGGGAGUACGCCGGCAACGGUGAAACUCAAAGGAAUUGACGGGGGCCCGCACAAGCGGAGGAACAUGUGGUUUAAUUCGAUGAUACGCGAGGAACCUUACCCGGGCUUGAAUUGCAACUGAAUGAUGUGGAGACAUGUCAGCCGCAAGGCAGUUGUGAAGGUGCUGCAUGGUUGUCGUCAGCUCGUGCCGUGAGGUGUCGGCUUAAGUGCCAUAACGAGCGCAACCCUUAUCGAUAGUUACCAUCAGGUUAUGCUGGGGACUCUGUCGAGACUGCCGUCGUAAGAUGUGAGGAAGGUGGGGAUGACGUCAAGUCAUCAUGCCCCUUAUGACCUGGGCUACACACGUACUACAAUGGCGUUAAACAAAGAGAAGCAAGACCGCGAGGUGGAGCAAAACUCAGAAACAACGUCCCAGUUCGGACUGCAGGCUGCAACUCGCCUGCAUGAAGUCGGAAUUGCUAGUAAUCGCGGAUCAGCAUGCCGCGGUGAAUACGUUCCCGGGCCUUGUACACACCGCCCGUCACACCAUGAGAGCCGGGGGGACCCGAAGUCGGUAGUCUAACCGCAAGGAGGACGCCGCCGAAGGUAAAACUGGUGAUUGGGGUG